rnacentral:rRNA from 1 species
AUUGAAGAGUUUGAUCAUGGCUCAGAUUGAACGCUGGCGGCAGGCCUAACACAUGCAAGUCGAGCGGUAGCACAGAGAGCUUGCUCUCGGGUGACGAGCGGCGGACGGGUGAGUAAUGUCUGGGAAACUGCCUGAUGGAGGGGGAUAACUACUGGAAACGGUAGCUAAUACCGCAUAAUGUCGCAAGACCAAAGUGGGGGACCUUCGGGCCUCAUGCCAUCAGAUGUGCCCAGAUGGGAUUAGCUAGUAGGUGGGGUAACGGCUCACCUAGGCGACGAUCCCUAGCUGGUCUGAGAGGAUGACCAGCCACACUGGAACUGAGACACGGUCCAGACUCCUACGGGAGGCAGCAGUGGGGAAUAUUGCACAAUGGGCGCAAGCCUGAUGCAGCCAUGCCGCGUGUGUGAAGAAGGCCUUCGGGUUGUAAAGCACUUUCAGCGGGGAGGAAGGCGGUGAGGUUAAUAACCUCACCGAUUGACGUUACCCGCAGAAGAAGCACCGGCUAACUCCGUGCCAGCAGCCGCGGUAAUACGGAGGGUGCAAGCGUUAAUCGGAAUUACUGGGCGUAAAGCGCACGCAGGCGGUCUGUCAAGUCGGAUGUGAAAUCCCCGGGCUCAACCUGGGAACUGCAUUCGAAACUGGCAGGCUAGAGUCUUGUAGAGGGGGGUAGAAUUCCAGGUGUAGCGGUGAAAUGCGUAGAGAUCUGGAGGAAUACCGGUGGCGAAGGCGGCCCCCUGGACAAAGACUGACGCUCAGGUGCGAAAGCGUGGGGAGCAAACAGGAUUAGAUACCCUGGUAGUCCACGCCGUAAACGAUGUCGAUUUGGAGGUUGUGCCCUUGAGGCGUGGCUUCCGGAGCUAACGCGUUAAAUCGACCGCCUGGGGAGUACGGCCGCAAGGUUAAAACUCAAAUGAAUUGACGGGGGCCCGCACAAGCGGUGGAGCAUGUGGUUUAAUUCGAUGCAACGCGAAGAACCUUACCUGGUCUUGACAUCCACAGAACUUUCCAGAGAUGGAUUGGUGCCUUCGGGAACUGUGAGACAGGUGCUGCAUGGCUGUCGUCAGCUCGUGUUGUGAAAUGUUGGGUUAAGUCCCGCAACGAGCGCAACCCUUAUCCUUUGUUGCCAGCGGUCCGGCCGGGAACUCAAAGGAGACUGCCAGUGAUAAACUGGAGGAAGGUGGGGAUGACGUCAAGUCAUCAUGGCCCUUACGACCAGGGCUACACACGUGCUACAAUGGCAUAUACAAAGAGAAGCGACCUCGCGAGAGCAAGCGGACCUCAUAAAGUAUGUCGUAGUCCGGAUUGGAGUCUGCAACUCGACUCCAUGAAGUCGGAAUCGCUAGUAAUCGUAGAUCAGAAUGCUACGGUGAAUACGUUCCCGGGCCUUGUACACACCGCCCGUCACACCAUGGGAGUGGGUUGCAAAAGAAGUAGGUAGCUUAACCUUCGGGAGGGCGCUUACCACUUUGUGAUUCAUGACUGGGGUGAAGUCGUAACAAGGUAACCGUAGGGGAACCUGCGGUUGGAUCACCUCCUU